GAUUUCUGACAUUAAUGCGUUUGACCCGCUCGGGUUACCGAUGUGUGUGUCGAUACGUGUUUGUCAUCCUUCUAGAAAAUGUUAGUUUGCUCUUCAUUGAGUAGAUUAUCACAAUCUAGAUCUUUUACUUUGAAAAAAUUAGAGUGUUUAAAGCAGGCAUAUUGCUAUGAAUACAUUAGCAUGGAAUAAUAAUUUAGGACUUUGGUUCUAUUUUGUUGGUUUCUAGAACUGAAGUAAUGAUUGAUAGGGAUAGUUGGGGGUGCUCGUAUUCAGUGGCCAGAGGUGAAAUUCUCGGAUUCACUGAAGACGAACUUAUGCGAAAGCAUU
rnacentral:rRNA from 1 species